rnacentral:rRNA from 1 species
AGCAGCCGCGGUAAUUCCAGCUCCAAUAGCGUAUAUUAAAGUUGUUGCAGUUAAAAAGCUCGUAGUUGAAUUACGGGAUCAAUAUUUCGGUCAUGCCGUUGGUAUGCACUGUUAUCAUUGAUUUCUCACCUUCUAAAGAACCGUAAUGCCAUUAAUUUGGUGUUACGGGGAAUUAGGACUGUUACCUUGAAAAAAUUAUAGUGUUUAAAGCAGGCUCACGCUUGAAUACAUUAGCAUGGAAUAAUGAAAUAGGACAUCCGAUUCUAUUUUGUUGGUUUCUAGGAUCNAUGUAAUGAUUAAUAGGGAUAGUUGGGGGCAUUAGUAUUCAAUUGUCAGAGGUGAAAUUCUUGGAUUUAUUGAAGACUAACUACUGCGAAAGCAUUUGCCAAGGAUGUUUUCAUUAAUCAAGAACGAAAGUUAGGGGAUCGAAGACGAUCAGAUACCGUCGUAGUCUUAACCAUAAACUAUGCCGACUAGGGAUCGGAUGAUGUUUAUUUUUUAAUGACUCA